ACAUGAUGUUGAUAAAGACGACAUUGUGUCCGCCUGUAAGACCUAUUUUGAGACGGUACACAGGAGCAUAUACCCAGCCAGAAAACUGCUGGAGCUGCGAAAGGUUCAGCUCGGAGUCGAGCGAGAACAAAGAGGCUGCUAGAAUCGAGACAGAGUGUGCUAGCGGAUGACGAGGUGGAACUCUGGAAGUCCGCCACUGUAGACCUCAUGUUUGACGAAGAAGAUGGCGUUGUUGGCGUGGUGUCUGGAUGGAUUGUACGGCCGCCGUCAUUUCGUAGGCCGGAUCUCUCUGAACUCUGUGUGAAGCUGCAGUCCCGGUUAGAGGAGACGCCGAAGUACAGAGCCACGCACAGUAGGUGUCUGCACAACGGACCUGCCUCGGAAAGAAUGCCGCCAGUUACCUACAACCCCGAGGAGGCAAAUGGACAGUUCACAGAGUUGUAUGUAGUUUUUGGAUACCCAUGUGUGGGCAGAUCCUCGCGUUGUACAUAGUUGUGUUUGUUUUAAUAAAGCUCUUUCUUUGCAUAAACAUCU